CUAAAUUCCACUGGACACGAAUGUGAGCUGGCCCAGCGACAUUGACGUCCUAUGACCCAUACUUGUUGACUGCCCAAUUUCAGGGUCAUAACAGUCAAGGCUUGACAUCGGCCAUGGAGGAAAAGAGUUCAGUUACACAGGAAUUCCGGCUCAAUACAAGUUGAAGAGGCAAAGCCUGGUCAUGUCAAGAAAUCCCCUCUAGGACAAAACCAUUCGAACACAAUCAGGCCAAAGACGAACUAGCUAAUCAGUCCUGGAAUGGAUGGGAGCACUCUAUCUACAUGGUCUUAAGGGUGACGUCGCGGACCUAUUCACGCGUAAUUUGCAACAGUUGCAUGCCACCAGGCGCACGUACUAACCAAGAUAUCCGUUCAAGCUCACCUAUAAAUACUUGGUAGUGAACAAUUGAGAAUUGGACCCAUUGAGAAGCCUCAUGUUAGCUUUCAUGCACUCCUCUCUCUCCUGCCUAAUCUCUUUGAGCAUUGCUGCUACAUCUUUCAUGGUUGGUCUGUCAUCUGGGGUAGGGUUAAUGCACAGCAAUGCCACACC